CCUUUAAAGAAAGCGUAAUAGCUCACUAGUCGAGUCGGCCUGCGCGGAAGAUGUAACGGGGCUCAAACCAUACACCGAAGCUACGGGUAUCACGUAAGUGAUGCGGUAGAGGAGCGUUCUGUAAGCCUGUGAAGGUGAGUUGAGAAGCUUGCUGGAGGUAUCAGAAGUGCGAAUGCUGACAUGAGUAACGACAAUGGGUGUGAAAAACACCCACGCCGAAAGACCAAGGUUUCCUGCGCAACGUUAAUCGACGCGGGGUUAGUCGGUCCCUAAGGCGAGGCUGAAAAGCGUAGUCGAUGGCUGUACUUCUGGUAAUUGCGAUGGAGGGACGGAGAAGGCUAGGCCAGAUCGGCGUGGGUUGUCCAAGUUUAAGGUGGUAGGCUGCAAUCUUAGGUAAAUCCGGGGUUUCAAGGCCGAGAGCUGAUGACGAGUUACUCUUUGGGUGUCGAAGUGGUUGAUGCCAUGCUUCCAAGAAAAGCUUCUAAGCUUCAGGUAACCAGGAACCGUACCCCAAACCGACACAGGUGGUUGGGUAGAGAAUACCAAGGCGCUUGAGAGAACUCGGGUGAAGGAACUAGGCAA
rnacentral:rRNA from 1 species